UAGGGGGUAUAAGAGAAUGUGAUAUUUUGUAAAAAAUGUUGUUCUAUUUAAUCGAAGUUGCUAAUUACUUGGUUGUUUUAAUAAAAUAUGGUGUAUAUAAUUUUGGGGAAACUUCAAAUAUUUGCACUUUCGCACUUUAGUACCUUGUGGUUUCAAGUGUAUCAAGUUAGUAUCUUGUGGUUUCGCACUUUCUCAAUUUAGUACCAUGUGGUUUCAAGUGUAUCAACUUAGUAUCCUGUGGUUUCGCACUUUCUCACUUUAGUAUUUUGUGGUUUAAUAUUUCGUUAAAUUAUAUAUCCCGAAAUGGAUGAUAAAAGAGAAAUUGAAACCACAGGGUACUAACUUGAUACAAAAAUGAAACUACAGGGUACUAACUUGAUACACUUGAAACCACUGGGUACUAAAGUGAGAAAGUGCGAAACCAUAGGGUACUAACUUGAUACGCCUGAAAUUAUAGGGUACUAAAGUGAGAAAGUGCGAAACCACAUGGGGGGUAUUUGAAGUUUCCUAUAAUUUUAUAAGACUUUAAAAAUGUAAAGAAGCUUUUUU
rnacentral:lncRNA from 1 species